rnacentral:tRNA from 1 species
ACCUCGAUAGCUCAGUCGGUAGAGCACCUGACUGUUAAUCAGGUUGUCGCAGGUUCGAGCCCUGCUCGAGGUGCCA